UACGUAGGGUGCAAGCGUUAAUCGGAAUUACUGGGCGUAAAGCGUGCGCAGGCGGUGAUGUAAGACAGGUGUGAAAUCCCCGGGCUUAACCUGGGAACUGCAUUUGUGACUACAUCGCUGGAGUGCGGCAGAGGGGGAUGGGAAUUCCGCGUGUAGCAGUGAAAUGCGUAGAUAUGCGGAGGAACACCGAUGGCGAAGGCAAUCCCCUGGGCCUGCACUGACGCUCAUGCACGAAAGCGUGGGGAGCAAACAGG
rnacentral:rRNA from 1 species